CAUCAGGUUUUAGUUUCAACUUCAACAACAUCUCCGCUUUCUAUUUCCACAGGUGUUCAGGGUCAGACACUGACUGAGUCUGGACCAGUAGUUAAAAAGCCUGGAGAAUCCCACCAACUGACCUGUACAGCCUCUGGGUUCACAUUCAGUAGCUACUACAUGGCUUGGAUCAGACAGGCUCCUGGGAAAGGACUGGAGUGGAUUGCUACUAGUUAUAGUACUGCUACAUAUUAUUCCCAGUCAGUCCAGGGUAGAUUCACCAUCUCCAGAGAUGCUCCUGGGAAAGGACUGGAGUGGAUUGCUACUAGUUAUAGUACUACUACAUAUGGUAGAUUCACCAUCUCCAGAGAUGCUCCUGGGAAAGGACUGGAGUGGAUUGCUACUAGUUAUAGUACUGCUACAUAUUAUUCCCAGUCAGUCCAGGGUAGAUUCACCAUCUCCAGAGAUGACUCCAGCAGUAAGCUGUACCUACAGAUGAACAGUCUGAAGAGUGAGGACACAGCAGUGUAUUACUGUGCUAGAGAGUCACAGUGGUAAAACUAAUGGGAGAAGCUGUACAAAAAACAUCUGGAAUAGAAAGGAUGUACUUGCCCAUGUGUAUGCACAAACAUUAGCUGGCCAAUGUUCAGAUACCGUAUCAUCACACAGUGACACAGAGAUAACACACCUGUUAGAUAUGUUGGUAUAGUGUUGUUGAUACAGUACAUAAAGAUAUAUGAAUGAGUGAUGGUACAGAGCGGCAUAGGCAAGAUGCAGUAGAUGGUAUCGAGUACAGUAUUUACAUAUGAGAUGAGUAUGUAAACAAAGUGGCAUAGUUUAAAGUGGCUAGUGGUACAGUACAUGUAUUACAUAAAGAUGCAAUAGAUGAUAUAGAGUACAGUAUAUACGUAUGCAUAUGAGAUGAAUAAUGUAGGGUAUAUAAACAUUAUAUUAAGUAGCAUUGUUUAAAGUGGCUAGUGAUAUAUUUUACAUCAAUUCCCAUUAUUAAAGUGGCUGGAGUUGAGUCAGUGUGUUGGCAGCAGCCACUCAAUGUUAGUGGUGGCUGUUUAACAGUCUGAUGGCCUUGAGAUAGAAGCUGUUUUUCAGUCUCUCGGUCCCAGCUUUGAUGCACCUGUACUGACCUCGCCUUCUGGAUGAUAGCGGGGUGAACAGGCUGUGGCUCGGGUGGUUGUUGUCCUUGAUGAUCUUUAUGGCCUUCCUGUACUAUCAGUAAUAGUGGUGGAGGUCCUGAAGUGUCUCUUAUAUACUGUAUCUCCCACCAUCUCUCCAUGUCAAUGCAAACCCUCCCUCUGAUUCCCUACUUAAACAGUGUCUGUCUGUCCUUAGAGGCCUCUAUGAGAACUGGAGCGAAGAGCAGCUCUCACCAGUUCAGCUUCAACACAAACCAUGUUACCUGCAUCUCUGCUGCUGCUGGCAGCUGUAUCCUGUGUCUGCUGUGAUAUUGAACUCAUCCAUUCUGGUCCAGUGGUUAGAAAACGAGGACAGUCUUUCAGCAUCUUCUGCAAAUUCUCUGGGUUUUGUAAAUAUUCUUACUGCCCUCGCUGGAUAUGACAAGCUGAAGGAAAAGCUUUGGAGUAUGUUGGUUAUACAUGUAUUAGUAGUACUUCUACUGUAGACUCACUGAAGAUCCCUUCUAGUUAUGGCAGCUCUAGCAGUACAGUGUUUGUAUAAUAGGACUCCUUAAAUUAAAUACAACAGAGAUGCUUCACCACAUCAAAUUUGUAAAUGAAUACAAGCCCAUCAUUGGUGGUGCUGGAAAUGUAUAUCUGAGUUGUUUGUCUAUUAUACUCCUGAUAUGACUUGAUGGUAUUCUAAUUGAUGUCUAUCAAACGUUCAAUGAACUUAUUCAUGAUCCAACACUUUAAUGUUUUAAUCAUUCACAUGAUGAAGGUGGCCAGUACCGAACAAGAAGAUCUAAGCUCUAUAGUAUCAACAAGACACAUAAUUAAGUGUUAUGAUAUAAAUACAAAUAUAUGCACCAAUAUAAAGACUGGGGACAAUUCACACUAUUGAGUUGUGAUACAAAAAAUAUUAGCAGAGUGUAAAGCUCAUUGUAUCACAGUCCUGUCUAACAUUAUCCUCCAGUAUAAGUCUUAUUACAUGGAGAACACACUAGAGUAUUUAUAGCUUGCACAGUUAUUACAUAUUGUUUCCCUACUGAUAUUUCCAUUAAUAAUAUAUAUCCUCUCCUUAUGCAAAUUUCACUGAGCCCCUCUUCCUUUCUCUCCCUCUCCCUCCUCCUUAUAUAAAAACCUCUGUAUUUGAGAGUCCUAGUACGUCCUUCUGAGUCCUGGAGAGUAGAGAAGAGCAGCUCCCACCUGUUGAACUUCAACACAAACCAUGUUCCCUGCAUCUCUGCUGCUCCUGCUGGCAGCUGUAUCCUGUGUCCACUGUCAGGUCGUACUCACACAGGCUGAACAGUCAGUCCAGGGGACCCCCAAAGGAUCCCUCAAACUCAGAUGUGCCUGUAGUGAAUUCACUCUAAGCAGCACUAAUAUGCACUGGAUCCACCAGGCACCUGGAAAAGUACUUGAAUUGAUCAUUUACUAUUAUUCGGACACUGACAAGAGCAAUGCCCCAGUAGUACAGGGCUGAUUCACAGCAUCGAAGGACAGCUCUAACAUCUAUCUCCACAUGAGCCAGUUGAAGCCAGAGGACUCUGCAGUGUAUUACUGUGCUAGAGACUCACUAUGGUUAAACUAAUGAGAAUAGUUGUACAAAAACCAUCUGGUAGAGAAAGGAAGGACGUGUACA